UCCACUGGCUUUAGGAGCCACCAUACU
rnacentral:tRNA from 1 species